CUACCCAGGAGGCUGGGGCAUAAGAAUUGCUUAAACCCAAAAGGCAGAGGUUGCAGUGAGCCAAGAUGGCACCACUGCACUCCAGUCUGGGUGACAGAGCGAGAUUCUGUCUCAAAAAACAAACAAAUAAAAAAGAGGUCUAUGAGGCCAGGGUCUGAAAUGUAAAAACAAAAUUCCAUGCAGUCUGGGUUUUCCCCAAGCGGUCUCCUGACACUGCUCUUGCCAAAGUCUCCGGCCAGCUCAUCGUGGAAUCCAGAGGCUGCAUGCGGCUCAGCCCUUCUCUACUUGACACCCCACAGCACUUGACCCUGUAGAGCCACGCCCUCCUCCCUUCCAGACUGUGACUAAGCCCCCUGGUUCUUUUCUAGGGCCCCUUCCCCUCCUUCCCUCUCCUCCUCCUCCAUCUGCUCUCCCUGGCUAGUUGCAGCCAUUCCUGCUGUCUCAGUCACCAUUUAGAUGCUGCUGACCGUAUACUGAGUUGGAUAAUGUGCCCCCCAAAUUUGGUGUCCACCAGGAACCUCAGAACGUGAGCUUAUUUGGAAACAGGGUCUUUGCUGAUGUAAUUAGUUAAAUUAAGAUGAGGUCACAGUGCAGGAAGGUAUGCCCUAAACCUAAUGACUGGUGUCCUUAUAAGAGGGCCAUGUGAACUACAAGAGGAAAGGUGGCCAUGUGCCAAAACGGAGGCAGAGAUUGGAGCGCAGCGUCGCCAAUGACUGCCGAAAACCACGAGGAGCUAGAAGAGACAAGGAAGGAUUCUUCCCUUGAGCCCUUGGGAAAAGCAGGAUUCUGCUGACACAUUGAUUUUGGACUUCCAGCCUCCAGAGCUAAGAGAAAGCACAUUUCUGUUGCUUUAAGCCACCCCAUCUCUGGUCAUUUGUUUGGCAGCCCCAGGAAGCUAACACAGCCCUCACUGUAUCUCGCUACCAUCUCCUGAGCUUCCCACCUGACAGCCAGACAAUUCCUCACACUCGGCCCUUCCAAAACCCACUCUCCCCUGAGAUCUGUUCCCUCUCCAGAAUUCCUCAUGCCAAGGAUUGCACCACUGGCUGCCCAAACCAGAACCCGGUCAUCGCCCGGAUCCUCCCUGCCCUCCACCCCUGAAACCCAGUGACUCAUCAAGCCCUACACAUUCCACCUCCAGAGUCUUUCUUGGAGACUAAAGAGACAACCAAAUGCGACGCUGGCAUCUUGAUGGGACCCCGGCUCUCAAAACAAAAACCCAACCAUGAAAGGCCAUCCAUCUGGACACAAACUGGGCAGCAGACGUCACUCCUGUUGUGUUUCCGAGGUGCGAUACUGGUUCUGCGAUUCAGGAGAAAAAUGCCUUCAUUCUCAGGAGAUGCAGCUCAGGGUGAAGCAUCACCAUGUCUGAAACUGACUUUCAAAUGGUACAGAAAAAGAAAAUCCACCCACUUUGCUGUGUCUUGAGAGAGCAAAGCUGGAGAUAUCAAUGAUUGUUGACUCUAGGUAGAAGAAAAUGUGUUUGUGGUACUGGUCUUUCAACUUUUCAGGAAGACCCCCAGCACCCCUCCUGCCUGGGGAAUCUCUGCUCCAGCUUUGCCAGCUGGCUUCUACACACCGUCACUGCCAAACCCAAUCCUGUCCACUCCAACCUGGUGACCACAGUGCAGUCAGAGUUCUCUCUCCAACGCCAGAACUUUCUCAUGUCCCUCCCUUGCUGGAAGCCCUCUGAAGCCUGUUCCUGGGACAAGGAUCACAUUCCUUACAUAAUCUGUGAGGCCCUUGGUCACUUCUCCAGCCCCUUGCUGCUCUCAACAUGAAACUCAACAUUCCGGCUGUUCUUAUCUUCUCUACACACCUUCUUACCUCCUGCCUUGCCCAUGGAAUGUCCUCUCCUCUGCCUUCAUCUGCCGGGACCAUCUUCAGGUCUCAACUUGAUAUCCCUUCUCUGCAAGUCCUUUGCCCCUGCCACCUGCUCUAUGGAGCACAUGUACUCUGCAUAUAAUCUACAAAGCUUGUACGUUGUGUAGCAAAUACUUUCCAUGGUGGGUCAUCUCUCCCUUACCCAGCAGAAACUUGUAUGAGGGGAAAGAUUGGAACUGUUUUAUCAUUCACUCCUACCCACCUGGCAGAAGACCUGGCACAUGGCUGGUGUGUGCCAUAGUUUCAAUGUGUCCCCCAAAGUUCAUGUGUUGGAAACUCCAUCCCCAAUGUGACAGUGUUGGGAGGUGGGCCUAAUGGGAGGUAGUAUUUGGGUCAUGGGGGUACUGCCUUCCUGAAUAAAUUAAUGCCAUUACUGGGGACUGGGUUCCUUAUAAAAGGACUAGUUUAGCUCCCUCUUGCCCCACUCCGUACCCUCUUUUGGGCCUUCUCCCAUGGGAUGACACAGCAAGAAAGCCUUUGCCAGAUGUGGCCCCUUGACUUCUCAGCCUCCACAACUGUGAGCCAAUACAUUUCUGUUCAUUAUAAAUUACCUUGUAAUUAUAAAUUACAGUGGCUCACAUCUAUAAUCCCAGCACUUUGGGAGGCCGAGGCGGGCGGAUCACUUGAGGUCAGGAGUUCAAGAAAAGCCUGGCCAACAUGGUGGAACCUUGUUUCUAUUAAAAAUGCAAAAAUUAGCCGGGUGUGGGGGUGUGUGCCUAUAAUUCUGGCUACUCGGGAGACUGAGGCAGGAGAACCACUUGAACCCGGGAGGCAGAGGUUGCGGUUGGCUGAGAUCAUGCCACUGCAGUCCAGCCUGGGCAACAGAGCGAGACUCUGUUUCAAAAAAUAUAUCAAUAAAUAAAAAUAAAAAUAAAUAAAGUAAUUAAUUAAUUACCCAGUCUAUGCUAUUCUGUUAUAGCAGCAUAAAAU
rnacentral:lncRNA from 10 species